rnacentral:tRNA from 1 species
GUUGUGGCUCAGUGGUAGAGUGCUUGUCUAGCACAUGGGGUACUGGGUUCAAUCCUCAGCAUCACA